AUUGAACGCUGGCGGCAGGCCUAACACAUGCAAGUCGAGCGGAUGAGAGGAGCUUGCUUCUCGAUUCAGCGGCGGACGGGUGAGUAAUGCCUAGGAAUCUGCCUGGUAGUGGGGGACAACGUUUCGAAAGGAACGCUAAUACCGCAUACGUUCUACGGGAGAAAGCAGGGGACCUUCGGGCCUUGCGCUACCAGAUGAGCCUAGGUCGGAUUAGCUAGUUGGUGAGGUAAUGGCUCACCAAGGCGACGAUCCGUAACUGGUCUGAGAGGAUGAUCAGUCACACUGGAACUGAGACACGGUCCAGACUCCUACGGGAGGCAGCAGUGGGGAAUAUUGGACAAUGGGCGAAAGCCUGAUCCAGCCAUGCCGCGUGUGUGAAGAAGGUCUUCGGAUUGUAAAGCACUUUAAGUUGGGAGGAAGGGUUGUAGAUUAAUACUCUGCAAUUUUGACGUUACCGACAGAAUAAGCACCGGCUAACUCUGUGCCAGCCGCCGCCGUAAUAC
rnacentral:rRNA from 1 species